rnacentral:rRNA from 1 species
CCUACGGGAGGCAGCAGUGGGGAAUAUUGCACAAUGGGCGAAAGCCUGAUGCAGCAACGCCGCGUGAGGGAUGACGGCCUUUCGGGUUGUAAACCUCUUUUAGCAGGGAAGAAGCGAAAGUGACGGUACCUGCAGAAAAAGCACCGGCUAACUACGUGCCAGCAGCCGCGGUAAUACGUAGGGUGCGAGCGUUGUCCGGAAUUAUUGGGCGUAAAGAGCUUGUAGGCGGUCUGUCGCGUCUGCUGUGAAAACCCGAGGCUCAACCUCGGGCCUGCAGUGGGUACGGGCAGACUAGAGUGCGGUAGGGGAGAACGGAACUCCUGGUGUAGCGGUGGAAUGCGCAGAUAUCAGGAAGAACACCGAUGGCGAAGGCAGUUCUCUGGGCCGUAACUGACGCUGAGAAGCGAAAGCGUGGGGAGCGAACAGGAUUAGAUACCCUGGUAGUCCACGCCGUAAACGUUGGGCGCUAGAUGUGGGGACCAUUCCACGGUUUCCGUGUCGUAGCUAACGCAUUAAGCGCCCCGCCUGGGGAGUACGGCCGCAAGGCUAAAACUCAAAGGAAUUGACGGGGGCCCGCACAAGCGGCGGAGCAUGCGGAUUAAUUCGAUGCAACGCGAAGAACCUUACCAAGGCUUGACAUAUACCGGAAACGGCCAGAGAUGGUCGCCCCCUUGUGGUCGGUAUACAGGUGGUGCAUGGUUGUCGUCAGCUCGUGUCGUGAGAUGUUGGGUUAAGUCCCGCAACGAGCGCAACCCUCGUUCUAUGUUGCCAGCGGUUCGGCCGGGAACUCAUAGGAGACUGCCGGGGUCAACUCGGAGGAAGGUGGGGAUGACGUCAAAUCAUCAUGCCCCUUAUGUCUUGGGCUUCACGCAUGCUACAAUGGCCGGUACAAAGGGCUGCGAUGCCGUAAGGCGGAGCGAAUCCCAAAAAGCCGGUCUCAGUUCGGAUUGAGGUCUGCAACUCGACCUCAUGAAGUCGGAGUCGCUAGUAAUCGCAGAUCAGCAACGCUGCGGUGAAUACGUUCCCGGGCCUUGUACACACCGCCCGUCAA